AUUCCAGCUCCAAUAGCGUAUAUUAAAGUUGUUGCAGUUAAAAAGCUCGUAGUUGGAUUUCUGGCGGGAGCGGCCUGUCCUGCCCUUUGCGGGGUUGAGCACAAGCGCUGCAUCCGGCCAUCCUUGUGGAGAGCGUUUCUGGCAUUCAGUUGUCGGACUCGGGAUCCGCAUCGUUUACUGUGAAAAAAUUAGAGUGUUUAAAGCAGGCAUUUGCUUGAAUACAUUAGCAUGGAAUAAUAAGAUAGGACUUAGUCGUUAUCUUGUUGGUCUUGCACGUCUAGGUAAUGAUUAAUAGGGAUAGUUGGGGGUAUUCAUAUUUAAUUGUCAGAGGUGAAAUUCUUGGAUUUAUGAAAGAUGAACUUAUGCGAAAGCAUUUACCAUGGAUGUUUUCAUUA
rnacentral:rRNA from 1 species